rnacentral:ncRNA from 2 species
GGAAUCCGGUGAGAGUCCGGAGCGGUCCCGCCACUGUGAUCCGGGCCUGACCUCGUGCCGGGGCGCCGGAAGCC